AGUGAACGCUGGCGGUAGGCCUAACACAUGCAAGUCGAACGGCAGCACAGUAAGAGCUUGCUCUUACGGGUGGCGAGUGGCGGACGGGUGAGGAAUACAUCGGAAUCUACUUUUUCGUGGGGGAUAACGUAGGGAAACUUACGCUAAUACCGCAUACGACCUACGGGUGAAAGCAGGGGAUCUUCGGACCUUGCGCGAUUGAAUGAGCCGAUGUCAGAUUAGCUAGUUGGCGGGGUAAAGGCCCACCAAGGCGACGAUCCGUAGCUGGUCUGAGAGGAUGAUCAGCCACACUGGAACUGAGACACGGUCCAGACUCCUACGGGAGGCCGCAGUGGGGAAUAUUGGACAAUGGGCGCAAGCCUGAUCCAGCCAUACCGCGUGGGUGAAGAAGGCCUUCGGGUUGUAAAGCCCUUUUGUUGGGAAAGAAAAGCAGCAGGUUAAUACCCCGCUGUUCUGACGGUACCCAAAGAAUAAGCACCGGCUAACUUCGUG
rnacentral:rRNA from 1 species